AUCCUGCAGUGUCCUUAGUCAGACUGGUGUAUCCUGUGUCAGACUGGGGAGUCCUGAGUCAUCCUGGGAUGUCCUUAAUCACCCUGGGGUGUUUGUGUCAUGCUGGGGUGUCCUAAGUCAGGCUGGCGUGUCCUGUCUCCUCCUGCAGUGUCAUGUUCCAUCCUGGGGUACACUGUGUCAGCCUGGGAUGUCCUGAGUCAUCUUGCGGUGUCCUGUGUCAUCCUGGGGUGUCCUGUGCCACCCUGGGGUAUCCUAGGACAGCCUUGGGUAUCCUGAGCCAUCCUAAGAUUUCCUGAGGCAUCCUGGGGAAUCCUGAGUCAUCCUGGGGUGUCCUGUGUAAGGCUGGGGUGUCCUGAGACAUCCU
rnacentral:lncRNA from 1 species